GAGGGGAUCGCUGAGCGGUGGGGCGCAUGCUUAGCACGCAUGAGGUCCCGGGUUCAGUCCCCAGUUCCUCCA
rnacentral:tRNA from 1 species